GAUCAUGGCUCAGGAUGAACGCUAGCGACAGGCUUAACACAUGCAAGUCGAGGGGCAGCGAGGUGGUAGCAAUACCGCUGUCGGCGACCGGCGCACUGGUGAGUAACACGUAUGCGACCUGCCCCCUACAGGGGUAUAACCCGUAGAAAUGCGGACUAAUCCCCCAUAGUCCUGGAGGCUGCAUGGCCUUCAGGGGAAAGGCCAGCCGGUAGGGGAUGGGCAUGCGGCGCAUUAGCUAGUUGGCGGGGCAACGGCCCACCAAGGCGACGAUGCGUAGGGGGUUCUGAGAGGAAGGUCCCCCACAUUGGAACUGAGACACGGUCCAAACUCCUACGGGAGGCAGCAGUGAGGAAUAUUGGUCAAUGGGCGAGAGCCUGAACCUGCCAAGUAGCGUGCAGGACGACGGCCCUAUGGGUUGUAAACUGCUUUUAUAUGGGGAUAAAGUGAGUUACGUGUAGCUUAUUGCAGGUACCAUAUGAAUAAGGACCGGCUAAUUCCGUG
rnacentral:rRNA from 1 species